GACGAACGCUGGCGGCGUACUUAACACAUGCAGGUCGAACGGAAAGGCCCUGCUUUUGUGGGGUGCUCGAGUGGCGAACGGGUGAGUAACACGUGAGUAACCUGCCCUUGACUUUGGGAUAACUUCAGGAAACUGGGGCUAAUACCGGAUAGGAGCUCCUGCUGCAUGGUGGGGGUUGGAAAGUUUCGGCGGUUGGGGAUGGACUCGCGGCUUAUCAGCUUGUUGGUGGGGUAGUGGCUUACCAAGGCUUUGACGGGUAGCCGGCCUGAGAGGGUGACCGGCCACAUUGGGACUGAGAUACGGCCCAGACUCCUACGGGAGGCAGCAGUGGGGAAUAUUGCACAAUGGGCGGAAGCCUGAUGCAGCAACGCCGCGUGCGGGAUGACGGCCUUCGGGUUGUAAACCGCUUUCGCCUGUGACGAAGCGUGAGUGACGGUAAUGGGUAAAGAAGCACCGGCUAACUACGUG
rnacentral:rRNA from 1 species